UACGGAGGGGGCUAGCGUUAUUCGGAAUUAUUGGGCGUAAAGGGCGCGUAGGCGGCCCGGUAAGUCAAAGGUGAAAUCCCUCGGCUCAACUGAGGAACUGCCUUUGAAACUGUCAGGCUUGAGGCCGGGAGGGGGUAGCGGAAUUCCCAGUGUAGCGGUGAAAUGCGUAGAUAUUGGGAGGAACACCGGUGGCGAAGGCGGCUACCUGGACCGGUUCUGACGCUGAUGCGCGAAAGCGUGGGUAGCAAACAGG
rnacentral:rRNA from 1 species